rnacentral:rRNA from 1 species
UACAGAGGGUGCAAGCGUUGUUCGGAAUCAUUGGGCGUAAAGGGCGCGUAGGCGGUUAUAAAAGUCGAAUGUGAAAGCCCAGGGCUCAACCUUGGAAGUGCAUCCGAAACUGCAUAACUAGAAUCUCGGAGAGGGUGGUGGAAUUCCCAGUGUAGAGGUGAAAUUCGUAGAUAUUGGGAGGAACACCGGUGGCGAAGGCGACCACCUGGACGAAGAUUGACGCUGAGGCGCGAAAGCGUGGGGAGCAAACAGG